UGGGAACAUAUUCAAGAAAAUCUAACUCCAAGUGAUUCUAAGGUGGUUUCUUUAUGCGUUUCAACUUUCUUCGUCUGAAAUUAAUCAUUGCCAUCUUGUCCAGCAUAUACUAACCUCUAAUAUCAUGUGCGAACUGAUGAUAAGUAUGGUACUGCUCCGUAGAAUUGAUCAUAUGACUCUGCUUGAAAAGAGUAUCUUCUGGAUAGUUUGCUAUAAAAAUAAUCAAGGAGGUUGAUCAAAUCCUGAAGCUCAGUGAUGUAAUGGAUAAGCUUCUAAGGAGGUGAACCUUAGAAGAAACAAUAAUCACCCAAGCAAAAAGCCAACAGAAGCCUUUUCCAUCAAAUCUGAGAAUGUAAGCUAUGUUUCCUACAUCUGCAGAGCCUUUUCCAUCUUUUUGCUAAUGUUUGGCUUCUUUUAACUUUUGAAUUCUUAUUGUGCUUGCAGUAUAUCAUUUGUUUCCUUUGGGAAUAAUCAAUUUUUUUUUUUUUGCUUGGGUGAUUAUUGUUUCCUCUAACCUUCAUAUGAUAUUAUGUAGAUCAAUAUAAAAAGUUUGUACCAAUUAACGUGAAAUCCCCGUGCAAUACACGUUAAAAAAAUUAGUAUAAAUUAGUAUAUAUAGAGAGAGAAUGUGUACUUUAUCUGUUCACUUUUACUUUUCAUAUUUUGACUUGACACCUCCACUGAGAAAAAUAAUUAUUACAUGGCUAUUUUACCAAAAAAAUCCCUAUUAAAUGAUGUACUAUUGUGUUUUGAAAUAAAUUUGAGAAAAAAUAAUUAAUGGUAAAACAUGAAAAAAAAUUUGUCAAAAAUGACAAGCAAAAAUGAAAAUUAAAUUACAAAAAUAGUGACAAGUAAAUUCAAAUAGAGGAAAUAACUAGGAAAAGAAACAGCCCCUAUAUAUUAAAAGAACAUUAAAGCACUUCAAAACUGUAUAGGCCUUAUUUGCUAUGUUGCAACAGUUAUAAUUUAUUGGAUUGGGAGUGUUCUGAUAAGUCUCCUCACCUGUUUUAAUGCCAUUGAAACGUUCACUUGCUUUAUUCAGAUGUAAGUCAUCUGGUUCAUUACAAGUUAUCAAUACACUAAUAGUAGUUGUACAUGUUUACAAGUUGGCUUUUCUUACCUCACCUUUGCUUAAUGGCAAUUUGGCUCUUCAAAGGUUCAGUAGACAGGCACAAUAUUGCAACUUUGAGCUAGAUGGAGAUGGAGCUUGGGAAUUAUCCUACCAAUUGUAGUGAGCUUAGUUUGCUAAUUGCUAUACAUGGAUUAUAAUAUCCAAUCUAAUCUCAUUUUGAUACAAUCCACUCCCCAAAAGCUAGCUAAUGGAGUGAGAGCUUAAGGCUAUAUAAGCCACACAUCAGUUACUUAAUAGAUGUGGGACUCAAGUCUCAUUCGCAAUAAUUCAAUAACAAACCACAACGCUCUGCAUCCAUCGUCCUCAAUGGUUGUGCGC
rnacentral:lncRNA from 1 species